rnacentral:rRNA from 2 species
UGCUGGAGGUAUCAGAAGUGCGAAUGCUGACAUAAGUAACGAUAAAGCGGGUGAAAAGCCCGCUCGCCGGAAGACCAAGGGUUCCUGUCCAACGUUAAUCGGGGCAGGGUGAGUCGACCCCUAAGGCGAGGCCGAAAGGCGUAGUCGAUGGGAAACAGGUUAAUAUUCCUGUACUUGGUGUUACUGCGAAGGGGGGACGGAGAAGGCUAUGUUAGCCGGGCGACGGUUGUCCCGGUUUAAGCAUGUAGGCUGGUUGUCCAGGCAAAUCCGGAUAAUCAAGGCUGAGGUGUGAUGACGAGGCACUACGGUGCUGAAGUAACAAAUGCCCUGCUUCCAGGAAAAGCCUCUAAGCAUCAGGUAACAU